ACUUUAGAUGAGUGCAGGUCCCGUAUGUCCCUUCACCUCUAUAUGAAGGCCCAGUUUAUAUUUAAAAGUCAAGUAGAUGAUUAGGAAUUUACGGACCAGUUGUUUCUGUGUGUUGAAAAAGUGGACCCAAACUCCUUGCAUGAUAUAUAAUAUACAAAAAAUAUCAUUAUUUUUCAUUUUGUGGUUGACAAGCUAAUUACUUUAUAUGUGUGUAUAAAAAUGUAUAUUUUUUUGCAUCUUUUGUGUUCCUGUGGGUGGAGCAAGAGGUGUGUGAAGGUUCUUCCAUUACUUUGAACAUGUUAAAACACUACUAUAAAACAAGAAAAUUAAAUAACUGGUAUCCUUUUAAGCCUUAUUCAUUCUGAAUUCUUACUGCCAAAAAGCCAAAUCACAAAACAGUCUUUUCACAACAUCUUGACUGGAAAUAAAUCUGUUUAAUUCAUGGAGUUUAGAGUGCAGUGUGGGCAUUUAAACAUUAAAGACAAAAAAGGAAGAGAACGAUUCCCAAAUUGUUCAAACCGUAACUAUGAAAAACAUAAAACUUUAUGCUAGAGUGUUAAAUAGACAUUACCUUUUGACUUUGUGUUCUGUGCACAUUAAUUGACUAGUCUGUGACGUAAAACAAGAAAAUAGUACAUUUUGCGAACCUCUCACCAAGCAACCUGAAAGCGAACAGCUCCCUUGUAAUAGCAGUGAGGACCAAUCAGAUGGGUACUUUUAGAAGCCCAGCAAGACCUGUCCCACUUCUGCUUUCUCUUUCUCUCGGGGUAUUUUCUGUUUUUGUCGUUCCUCGUCCCUUUCCCCGGUCACUAUUACGUAAACGCUUCACCAAUGCCAUCCCUCCCUCCUGUAUUAAAAAAAAUAUAUAUAUAAAAAUCUCCCAAUACCUGUUUGUCUCCCAAAGUCAUCCUAAUUAGUGUUUAGAGUUCCUGCUCACCUGCAGCGAGGUUGUCUGCGCCCGAAAGCCACCACUUUCUCGUCUUUGCCAAGCCAGCUCUAAUGAAAGGGUCCUAUCAGCUGCUAUCAAUGCUUGUGUGUGUGUGUGUGUGUGUUUGUGUGUGAGACGGGGGGAAAAAAAGAAAGACCACUCACACAUCAUUAACAGCAUUACCUCAAUUACACAGUCUGACAAUGAGAACUAGCGCAGAAAGAGGGAGAGUGAGUGAAAGUAGGGAUGCGGGGUGUAAGAAGGGGUGGGGAGUUGACAGGAGACAGGAUGGAGGAGGGAGAGAUUUCACUUUGCACAAAUGAGGGAGCUCAGCGGCAAAAUUGUAACCAGUUUUAUUCACCUGUCAAGGAAAUGUAAAACAGGUACUGCACACAAAACCAAUUUCUCCAUUGCACUGAAUUCAAUCCUCCAGUUGUGUUAAAAUAUAUAUAU
ensembl:lncRNA